rnacentral:rRNA from 1 species
AUGGCUUUUGCUUCUUCCUCUACAGAAUCCCAUGUCCUCCCUCACAUAGCAAUCUUCCCCUUCAUGGCCAAGGGCCACACCAUCCCGCUCAUCCAGCUUGUCCACCACCUCCGUCGUCGCCGCCUCGCCACCGUGACCUUCUUCACAACCCAUGCCAACGCCGCCUUCGUCCGCGAGGGACUGUCCGGCGCCGACGACACGGCCGUCGUCGAGCUCGCGUUCCCCGCCGGCGUCGCGGCAAUCCCGCCUGGGGUGGAGAGCGCCGAGGGGCUCACGUCCAUGGCCUCCUUAGCCGCCUUCGCACGCGCCGCGUCGCUGCUCCAGCCACAGCUCGAGGCGUCGCUCGCCGCCAUGGAGCCUCCGGCCAGCCUCCUGGUCGCCGACGCGUUCCUGUACUGGACUAACGCGCCGGCGGCCACGCUCGGCGUCCCGAGGGUGUCGUUCUUAGGCAUCUCGGCGUUCGCACAGGUCAUGCGGGAGCUGCGCGUCAGCCACGAUCCGGUCCCGGCGCUGCAGCACGCCGACGUCGACGGCGACGGCAAUCCGGCGACGUUCACGGUGCCUGAGUUCCCGCACAUCAAGCUCACGCUGGAGGACCUGAUGGCGCCCUUCGGCGACCCGUCGUCGGCUGCUUCGAUGAUGGAGCUGCACGGCAAGCUGGCGAAGGCCAUAGAGGAGAGCCAUGGCCUGAUCGUCAACACCUUCCAGGGCCUAGAGAAACCGUACAUGGAGUUCUGGAACAGCCACUAUAGGCCCACGGCCUGGGCCGUCGGCCCGCUCUGCCUCUCCCAGCCCGCGUCUUCUUCGCCGGGUGCCGCCGGCGCCCGGCCAUCAUGGAUGGAGUGGCUGGACGAGAAGGCAGCCGCCGGCCGGGGAGUGCUGUACGUCGCGUUCGGGACGCUGGCCGCGAUUCCAGAGGUGCAGCUCAAGGAAGUCGCAGACGGGCUGGAGCGGGCCGAGGUAGAUUUCAUAUGGGCCGUGAGGCCGGAGAAUGUCCAUCUCGGUGCAGGCUUCGAGGAGCGUACCAAGGGCAGAGGCUUAGUGGUGAGGGAGUGGGUGGAUCAAUUGGGGAUUUUGCGGCACCAGAGCGUGAGAGGGUUUCUGAGUCACUGCGGAUGGAACUCGGUGCUGGAGAGCGUCGCGGCUGCUGUGCCACUCGCAGCUUGGCCCAUGCAGGCCGAUCAACCUUUCAACGCAGCGUUUGUAGCCGACGAGCUCAAGAUCGCGGUUAGGGUCCACACGAGUGAUAGAACGAUGCGGGGUCCGGUCACGAGCGAAGAAAUAUCGCGAGUGGUCAGGGAGCUUAUGCUCGGAGAGGCCGGAACCGAAGCGGCAAAGAAUGUUGCCGAGUUAUCGGUGCUGGCUAUGGAGUCCGUAUUGGAGAGGGGGUCGUCGUGGAAAGCAAUGGAGGAGAUGAUCGGUGAGUUGUGUGCACCCAACAGCAUGCAUGCAAAGCUUGAUGCGAGCAAGGAGGAGUCGCGAGAUGUUUAA